rnacentral:rRNA from 1 species
UACGUAGGGGGCAAGCGUUGUCCGGAAUCAUUGGGCGUAAAGAGCGCGUAGGCGGCCCGAUAAGUCCGCUGUGAAAGUCAAGGGCUCAACCCUUGAAUGCCGGUGGAUACUGUCGGGCUAGAGUCCGGAAGAGGCGAGUGGAAUUCCUGGUGUAGCGGUGAAAUGCGCAGAUAUCAGGAGGAACACCAGUGGCGAAGGCGGUGCUCUGGGCCGGAACUGACGCUGAGGAGCGAAAGCGUGGGGAGCAAACAGG